GACGAACGCUGGCGGCGGGCCUAACACAUGCAAGUCGAACGAGUGGCGGACGGGUGAGUACUGUCUGGGCAACUGCCUGAUGGAGGGGGAUAACUACUGGAAACGGUAGCUGAUACCGCAUAGCAUCAGCUAUGCCCAGAUGGGAUUAGCUUGUGUGUGGGGUAACGGCUUACCAAGGCGACGAUCCCUAGCUGGUCUGAGAGGAUGACCAGCCACACUGGAACUGAGACACGGUCCAGACUCCUACGGGAGGCAGCAGUGGGGAAUAUUGCACAAUGGGCGCAAGCCUGAUGCAGCCAUGCCGCGUGUAUGAAGAAGGCCUUCGGGUUGUAAAGUACUUUUAGCGGGGAGGCGGUACCCGCAGAAGAAGCACCGGCUAACUACGUGCCAGCAGCCGCGGUAAUAC
rnacentral:rRNA from 1 species